rnacentral:rRNA from 1 species
AUGGCUCAGGACGAACGCUGGCGGCGUGCCUAAUACAUGCAAGUCGAACGGUCUUUCUAUGGAAGCUUGCUUCCACUGAGAAGAUAGUGGCGAACGGGUGAGUAACACGUGGGUAACCUGCCCAUAAGAGGGGGGAUAACAUCCGGAAACGGGUGCUAAUACCGCAUAGUUUUCUUGAUCGCAUGAUUGAGAAAGGAAAGACGGCCUUUGUGCUGUCGCUUAUGGAUGGACCCGCGGCGUAUUAGUUAGUUGGUGAGGUAACGGCUCACCAAGACGAUGAUACGUAGCCGACCUGAGAGGGUGAUCGGCCACAUUGGGACUGAGACACGGCCCAAACUCCUACGGGAGGCAGCAGUAGGGAAUCUUCCGCAAUGGACGAAAGUCUGACGGAGCAACGCCGCGUGAGCGAAAGAAGGUUUUCGGAUCGUAAAACUCUGUUGUCAGAGAAGAACAAGUUGGAGAGUAACUGCUCCAGCCUUGACGGUAUCUGACCAGAAAGCCACGGCUAACUACGUGCCAGCCGCGGC